ensembl:lncRNA
CAAAAACAACUGCAGGCGCAACCACAACAAAAGCAGGCGCAACAACCACAGCAGGCGCAACAACCACAACAGCAGCAGGCACAACCACAACAGCAGCAGGCGCAACAACAACAGCAGCAGGCGCAACAACAACAGCAGCAGGCGCAAUCACAACAGCAGCAGGCGCAACCACAACAGCAGCAGGCGCAACCACAACAGGAGCAGGCGCAACAACAGCAGCAGGCGCAACCACAACAACAGCAGGCGUAACAACCACAGCAGGCGCAACAACAACAGCAGCAGACGCAAUCACAACAGCAGCAGGCGCAACCACAACAGCAGCAGGCGCCACCACAACAGCAGCAGGCGCAACCACAACAGGAGCAGGCGCAACCACAACAGCAGCAGGCGCAACAACAACAGCAGCAGGCGCAACCACAACAACAGCAGGCACAACAACAGCAGCAGCAGACGCAAUCACAACAGCAGCAGGCGCAACCACAACAGCAGCAGGCGCCACCACAACAGCAGAAGGCGCAACAACCACAGCAGGCGCAACAACAACAGCAGCAGGCGCAACAACAACAGCAGCAGGCGCAACAACAACAGCAGCAGGCGCAACAACAACAGCAGCCUCCGCCUCCUCCGCCGGCGGUAGGCCAACCUACCAGACACUGUCACAAGCUCUGCUCAUCAUCCUAGGAACCAUGGGUCUGACCUUGCUAUAAAGCAGCUUUAAGAAGGUCCAAAAGUGGCAAAAACCUACAUUACAUAUAUUAACUACAUCAAAAAUAUAUGAACAAUUCGUAAAAUACUUUGUAUUUUUCGAUCCUCAGUUCAUUAAUGGAAGGAUAUUGUUACUUAAAGGCCCAUGACGAUGCCUAGAAAUUAGCCUUAAAGAAGGAGCUAUUUAUUUUUCUCACAAUUUUGUCCUUUUGUUUGCCUUUGGGUGAGUCAUGAGUUUUGUGUAUAUUUCCACGCAUUCAAAACUGUGUCAUUGUAUGUGUCAUGUAUUUAUUGUGUAAGUCUCAGACCAACAGGUUAUCAGGCACUGAACCAAUAUUUGUCCCCUCUCUCUUCGUUGAAUGAUGCCACUGGAUGGCAGAAACGAUACUGGCUUGUAUGUUAAAUAAACUUGCGAUUUGUGAUUAUCUAAGCACGAAAAUUAAGAGCAGUAUUAAAUUAAGUAAAUUCUGCUCACAGAAAAAACAUGCAUUCAAACAGUGGUGGUAUGAUCCGAUUGUUA